rnacentral:rRNA from 1 species
AGUGGCGAACGGGUGAGUAACACGUGGGCAACCUGCCCAAAAGAGGGGGAUAACACUUGGAAACAGGUGCUAAUACCGCAUAACCAUAGUUACCGCAUGGUAACUAUGUAAAAGGUGGCUAUACUACCGCUUUUGGAUGGGGCCCGCGGCGCAUUAGCUAGUUGGUAGGGUAAAGGCUUACCAAGGCAAUGAUGCGUAGCCGAAUUGAGAGGUUGAUCGGCCACAUUGGGACUGAGACACGGCCCAAACUCCUACGGGAGGCAGCAG